UACGUAGGGGGCAAGCGUUGUCCGGAUUUACUGGGCGUAAAGCGUGUGCAGGCGGUUCAACAAGUGGUGUAUGAAAGGUGUCGGCUCAACCGAGAUAGGUUAUGCCAGACUGUUGGACUAGAGUGUGAGAGAGGGACGUGGAAUUCCGGGUGGAGCGGUGAAAUGCGUAGAGAUCCGGAGGAACACCGACGGCGCAGGCAGCGUCCUGGCCGCUUGCUGACACUGAGGCACGAAAGCUGGGGGAGCAAACAGG
rnacentral:rRNA from 1 species